rfam:Methanobrevibacter millerae strain SM9, complete genome.
GCUACUGUAACACAAUUGGCAGUGUGCCGCCCUCGUAAGGCGGAGGUUGCGGGUUCAAGUCCCGUCAGUAGCU